rnacentral:rRNA from 1 species
UGCAACUCGCCUGCAUGAAGCCGGAAUCGCUAGUAAUCGCGGAUCAGCAUGCCGCGGUGAAUACGUUCCCGGGCCUUGUACACACCGCCCGUCACACCACGAGAGCUUGCAACACCCGAAGUCGGUGAGGUAACCCGCAAGGGAGCCAGCCGCCGAAGGUGGGGCAAGUGAUUGGGGUGAAGUCGUAACAAGGUAGCCGUACCGGAAGGUGCGGCUGGAUCACCUCCUUUCUAAGGAGA